AUUGAACGCUGGCGGCAGGCCUAACACAUGCAAGUCGAGCGGAUGAAGGGAGCUUGCUCCUGGAUUCAGCGGCGGACGGGUGAGUAAUGCCUAGGAAUCUGCCUGGUAGUGGGGGAUAACGUCCGGAAACGGGCGCUAAUACCGCAUACGUCCUGAGGGAGAAAGUGGGGGAUCUUCGGACCUCACGCUAUCAGAUGAGCCUAGGUCGGAUUAGCUAGUUGGUGGGGUAAAGGCCUACCAAGGCGACGAUCCGUAACUGGUCUGAGAGGAUGAUCAGUCACACUGGAACUGAGACACGGUCCAGACUCCUACGGGAGGCAGCAGUGGGGAAUAUUGGACAAUGGGCGAAAGCCUGAUCCAGCCAUGCCGCGUGUGUGAAGAAGGUCUUCGGAUUGUAAAGCACUUUAAGUUGGGAGGAAGGGCAGUAAGUUAAUACCGUGCUGUUUUGACGUUACCAACAGAAUAAGCACCGGCUAACUUCGUGC
rnacentral:rRNA from 1 species